UACGUAGGGUGCAAGCGUUAAUCGGAACUACUGGGCGUAAAGCGUGCGCAGGCGGUUAUGCAAGACAGAUGUGAAAUCCCCGGGCUCAACCUGGGAACUGCAUUUGUGACUGCAUGGCUAGAGUACGGUAGAGGGGGAUGGAAUUCCGCGUGUAGCAGUGAAAUGCGUAGAUAUGCGGAGGAACACCGAUGGCGAAGGCAAUCCCCUGGACCUGUACUGACGCUCAUGCACGAAAGCGUGGGGAGCAAACAGG
rnacentral:rRNA from 1 species